rnacentral:rRNA from 1 species
AGGGCGCAUGGUGGAUGCCUUGGCAACAGGAGCCGAAGAAGGACGUGGGAAUCUGCGAUAAGCCUGGUGGAGUCGAUAACCGGACGUUGAGACCAGGAUUUCCGAAUGGGGGAACCCCGCACGACUUUCAAGAUCGUGUGACCGCCUGCUGAACACAUAGGCAGGUUGGAGGGAACGCAGGGAAGUGAAACAUCUCAGUACCUGCAGGAAGAGAAAACAAAAGUGAUUCCGUGAGUAGUGGCGAGCGAAAGCGGAUGGGGCUAAACCGUAUGUGUGUGAUACCCGGCAGGGGUUGCAGGCUUGGGGUUGUGGGACGUGUCUGAUGGGUCUGCCGGCUUGUCGACGUGUACGUGUAGUGGUAGUCGAAGUCGUGGUGAGUGCGACGGCGUAGAGGGUGUGACCCCCGUAGACGAAACUGCUGCAUGGCGUGACGCUGUUCCCGAGUAGCACCGGGUCCGUGAAAUCCGGUGUGAAUCUGCCAGGACCACCUGGUAAGCCUGAAUACUACCUGUUGACCGAUAGCGGAUCAGUACCGUGAGGGAAUGGUGAAAAGUACCCCGGGAGGGGAGUGAAAUAGUACCUGAAACCAUGUGCCUACAAACCGUCGGAGCCUCCUUGUUGGGGUGACGGCGUGCCUUUUGAAGAAUGAGCCUGCGAGUUAGUGAUACGUGGCGAGGUUAACCCGUGUGGGGAAGCCGUAGCGAAAGCGAGUCUGAAUAGGGCGACUUGAGUUCGACGGAUCAGACCCGAAACCGGGUGAUCUAGCCAUGGGCAGGUUGAAGGUGCGGUAACACGCACUGGAGGUCCGAACCGACUAGUGUUGCAAAACUAGCGGAUGAGCUGUGGAUAGGGGUGAAAGGCUAAACAAACUUGGAAAUAGCUGGUUCUCUCCGAAAACUAUUUAGGUAGUGCCUCAAGUAUUACCAUCGGGGGUAGAGCACUGUUAUGGCUAGGGGGUCAUGGCGACUUACCAAACCAUUGCAAACUCCGAAUACCGAUGAGUGAUAUCCGGGAGACAGACGGCGGGUGCUAACGUCCGUCGUCAAGAGGGAAACAACCCAGACCGCCAGCUAAGGCCCCAAAUUCCUAGUUAAGUGGGAAACGAUGUGGGAAGGCACAGACAGCUAGGAGGUUGGCUUAGAAGCAGCCAUCCUUUAAAGAAAGCGUAAUAGCUCACUAGUCGAGUCGGCCUGCGCGGAAGAUGUAACGGGGCUAAGCCAGUUACCGAAGCUGCGGAUUUGCAAUUUAUUGCAAGUGGUAGGAGAGCGUUCUGUACGCCUGUGAAGGUGGAUCGUGAGGUCUGCUGGAGGUAUCAGAAGUGCGAAUGCUGACAUGAGUAGCGUUAAAGGGGGUGAAAAGCCCCCUCGCCGUAAGCGCAAGGUUUCCUACGCAACGUUCAUCGGCGUAGGGUGAGUCGGCCCCUAAGGCGAGGCAGAGAUGCGUAGCUGAUGGGAAACAGGUCAAUAUUCCUGUACCGAUGUGUAGUGCGAUGUGGGGACGGAGAAGGUUAGCUCAGCCGGGUGUUGGAUGUCCCGGUUCAAGCCUGUAGUCGUGCCUGGUAGGCAAAUCCGCCGGGCUUAGAUGAGGGGUGAUAACGAGGCGGCUUGCCGCCGAAGUGAGUGAUACCCUGCUUCCAGGAAAAGCCACUAAGCUCCAGCUACACACGACCGUACCGCAAACCGACACUGGUGCGCGAGAUGAGUAUUCUAAGGCGCUUGAGAGAACUCUGGAGAAGGAACUCGGCAAAUUGACACCGUAACUUCGGGAGAAGGUGUGCCCUCGUUACGUGAACCGCGCACGCGGGGAGCGGAAGGGGGUUGCAGAGAAUCGGGGGUAGCGACUGUUUACCAAAAACACAGCAGCGUGCGAAGCCGUAAGGCGCUGUAUACGCUGUGACGCCUGCCCGGUGCUGGAAGAUUAAAUGAUGGGGUGCAAGCUCUUGAUUGAAGUCCCAGUAAACGGCGGCCGUAACUAUAACGGUCCUAAGGUAGCGAAAUUCCUUGUCGGGUAAGUUCCGACCUGCACGAAUGGCAUAAUGAUGGCGGCGCUGUCUCCAGCAGAGACUCAGUGAAAUCGAAAUCGCAGUGAAGAUGCUGUGUACCCGCGGCUAGACGGAAAGACCCCGUGAACCUUGACUGUAGGCUGAUAUUGGGCUCGUGCUGCAACUGUGUAGGAUAGGUGGGAGACUGUGAACCCCUGGCCCCAGCUAGGGGGGAGUCAUCGGUGAAAUACCACCCUUUUGUUGCAUAAGUUCUAACGUCGAUUCCUGUGAAUCCAGGCGACGGACAGUGUCAGUUGGGCAGUUUGACUGGGGCGGUCUCCUCCCAAACGGUAACGGAGGAGCCCAAAGGUACCCUCAGCCUGGUUGGCAAUCAGGCGUCGAGUGCAAUGGCACAAGGGAGCUUGACUGCGAGACCUACAAGUCGAGCAGGGACGAAAGUCGGGCUUAGUGAUCCCACGGUACCGAGUGGAAGGGCCGUGGCUUACCGGAUAAAAGCUACCCCGGGGAUAACAGGCUUAUCUCCCCCAAGAGUUCACAUCGACGGGGAGGUUUGGCACCUCGAUGUCGGCUCGUCGCAUCCUGGGGCUGGAGUAGGUCCCAAGGGUUGGGCUGUUCGCCCAUUAAAGCGGUACGCGAGCUGGGUUCAGAACGUCGUGAGACAGUUCGGUCCCUAUCCGCUGCGCGCGUUGGAAAUUUGAGAAGGUCUGUCCUUAGUACGAGAGGACCGGGACGGACGAACCUCUGGUAUGUCAGUUGUACCGCCAGGUGCAUGGCUGAUUAGCUACGUUCGGGAUGGAUAACCGCUGAAAGCAUCUAAGCGGGAAGCCCACCUUAAGAUUAGAUUUCCCUAAAGAGCCGUUGU